rnacentral:rRNA from 1 species
GAGGAAUAUUGGUCAAUGGACGAGAGUCUGAACCAGCCAAAUCGCGUGAAGGAAGACUGCCCUACGGGUUGUAAACUUCUUUUGUACAGGAAUAAAAGACAUUACGUGUAGUGUAUUGCAUGUACUGUACGAAUAAGCAUCGGCUAACUCCGUGCCAGCAGCCGCGGUAAUACGGAGGAUGCGAGCGUUAUCCGGAUUUAUUGGGUUUAAAGGGUGCGCAGGCGGGAUUUUAAGUCAGCGGUGAAAUUUUCAGGCUCAACCUGAACACUGCCGUUGAAACUGGGAUUCUUGAGUAUGGAUGAAGUAGGCGGAAUUCGUUGUGUAGCGGUGACAUGCUUAGAUAUAACGAGGAACUCCGAUUGCGUAGGCAGCUUACUAAGCCAUAACUGACGCUCAAGCACGAAAGCGUGGGGAUCAAACA